AUUCAAAUAGCUUAUAAUUAGAGUAUGACACUGAAGAUGUUAGGGAGAUUUAUUUAAUCUUUGAAUA
rnacentral:tRNA from 1 species